rnacentral:rRNA from 1 species
GACGAACGCUGGCGGCGUGCCUAAUACAUGCAAGUUGAGCGCUGAAGGUUGGUACUUGUACCAACUGGAUGAGCAGCGAACGGGUGAGUAACGCGUGGGGAAUCUGCCUUUGAGCGGGGGACAACAUUUGGAAACGAAUGCUAAUACCGCAUAAAAACUUUAAACACAAGUUUUAAGUUUGAAAGAUGCAAUUGCAGCACUCAAAGAUGAUCCCGCGUUGUAUUAGCUAGUUGGUGAGGUAAAGGCUCACCAAGGCGAUGAUACAUAGCCGACCUGAGAGGGUGAUCGGCCACAUUGGGACUGAGACACGGCCCAAACUCCUACGGGAGGCAGCAGUAGGGAAUCUUCGGCAAUGGACGAAAGUCUGACCGAGCAACGCCGCGUGAGUGAAGAAGGUUUUCGGAUCGUAAAACUCUGUUGGUAGAGAAGAACGUUGGUGAGAGUGGAAAGCUCAUCAAGUGACGGUAACUACCCAGAAAGGGACGGCUAACUACGUG